rnacentral:snRNA from 1 species
AUGGUUUUAAAGCUGGGUCAAAAAAAUCAUACGGUAAAAAAGUAUCUGUUCUUAUCCGUUUAAUAUCUGAUAUGCCUAUAUCUGGAUGCAGACGUGGUACCCUGUUGGAAGGCCAGUAGAGUGAUUGACUAUACCACCCCUAACUGGGGUCCAUAUAUUAAAUGGAUUUUUAGAACAGGGAGAUGGAAUGGACAGAGCAAGCUCUUCUUCCAAGCAUUAACCUGGUAUUGCAGUACCUCCAGGACUGGUGCAAAAAAA